AGUCGAGCGAAUGGAUUAAGAGCUUGCUCUUAUGAAGUUAGCGGCGGACGGGUGAGUAACACGUGGGUAACCUGCCCAUAAGACUGGGAUAACUCCGGGAAACCGGGGCUAAUACCGGAUAACAUUUUGAACCGCAUGGUUCGAAAUUGAAAGGCGGCUUCGGCUGUCACUUAUGGAUGGACCCGCGUCGCAUUAGCUAGUUGGUGAGGUAACGGCUCACCAAGGCAACGAUGCGUAGCCGACCUGAGAGGGUGAUCGGCCACACUGGGACUGAGACACGGCCCAGACUCCUACGGGAGGCAGCAGUAGGGAAUCUUCCGCAAUGGACGAAAGUCUGACGGAGCAACGCCGCGUGAGUGAUGAAGGCUUUCGGGUCGUAAAACUCUGUUGUUAGGGAAGAACAAGUGCUAGUUGAAUAAGCUGGCACCUUGACGGUACCUAACCAGAAAGCCACGGCUAACUACGUGCCAGCAGCCGCGGUAAUACGUAGGUGGCAAGCGUUAUCCGGAAUUAUUGGGCGUAAAGCGCGCGCAGGUGGUUUCUUAAGUCUGAUGUGAAAGCCCACGGCUCAACCGUGGAGGGGCAUUGGAAACUGGGAAACUUGAAUGCAGAAGAGGAAAGUGGAAUUCCAUGUGUAGCGGUGAAAUGCGUAGAGAUAUGGAGGAACACCAGUGGCGAAAGCGACUUUCUGGUCUGUAACUGACACUGAGGCGCGAAAGCGUGGGG
rnacentral:rRNA from 1 species